AAACCGGGUCAGCUCGGGUACCCGGGCUGGCUCGCCCCAUAUAGACGAGAGAGUUUGGCAAAGUAUCUUAAUUGAUCAUUUUGAAUUUUCUUUACGAUGCAAUGGAACUAAAAUAGUUGCAUAAACACUUGAAUCAGAGUAACAUAAUAGAGUUCUUACUAAUAACAGAUGCGUGGUUUUAUUGCAUUAACUAUAUUGCUAUUUAUUAUGUUGGUAUCGUUCAUAAAUUAAUGUUAUAGAGUAUUUAUUUCCAUAGUGUACAAAAAAAAACUAUGUAUUGUAUAUUCAAUAUGUUCUGUUUGGAAAUAGAAAAUAAAUGCAAGUAAGCACAUAGGGGUGAGCUGAAUUGCAAACGAGUUGAAGGCUUUCUAAGGGCGCCUCUGGCACUCACACUCAAUGAGUGGAAGUUCAAUUUGAGCUUCUCUCGAGUGUCAUUGCUGUUUUUGAACAGCUGGAGGGUUAGUG